rnacentral:lncRNA from 1 species
UUAGUAAAAGCUGUAUUACUGAAGAUGUCAACAAGAACACUUGUGAUUGCUGGAAGAAGGCCAGAAAACCAAGAUGAAAGGGAACUUGCAAAAACUUGGUUCUUCCAACCCUUAUAGAAUAUUCUGAGAAAUCCAGCAUUUCAUUGAAUGUAGCACCUGCAGCUACAGUGGAAACAGAAAGAGAAUGAGAAUCAAAAGUGCCUGGAUUGCUCAAGAGUUACAGUAAAAAUUACUGUUAAGGAGUUGUGUCUAUGGAUGAGCUUCCAAAUAAUGUUUCCUGCGUCAAUCUACUCAUGGUAAGGAUAUUGUGAAUGUGAUAAUGAAGAAUCGACAAAAUUACAUGAACUCAAUAGAAAAAAAGUAGCAUUAGGGACUGAGAAGACUGACUCCAACUUUGAAAGACAGGUGUUCUGUGGAUAUAGUGUUAUCAAACAGUAUCAAGUGAGAAAAAAUAUUUUAUGAAAAAGAAUUGGUGAAAAACAUCAUGAUUGCCUUAUUUUAAGAAGUUACUAAGUCUGUUGUAACCUUAGCGAACCACAUAAAUAAACAGGAGCCACUGAGACAAGAUACUGCCACUGGCAGAUGUUAACUUCCUAGAGGCCCAUAUUCUCACUGGCUUUUUAAUAAUAUUUUAAAAUUACCGUGUAUACAUACAUUUUAGAACUUCUUUUUUACUCAUACCAACAAAAUUCCCCCUAUAUAGCCUUUAGAUUUGAAUCGAUCACUUUACAAGUUUCUAUAGCAGAUCACAAUUGUUACUUGUUUUAUCAGUUCUGUGAAAAAAAAAAGGAUAAGUUUAGAAAACAAUCCAUGGUCUAUGACUGUUUUCAGCAUACAGAUGAAGGCUCUGGUAACUUGUAAUGAUUACUGAAAUCUCCAGGAAGUCUUUAGAUUUCACCUUCCUUUAAAUUUGUUUAAAAAAACUGCCAUCAUAGUGAAGACAUAGUGUGCUAGUUACAACUAACACAGCCAUCUUUCUUAGCCUAAUUAGUUAACAAUUUAGGAAUUAAAAUAUUCCUAAACUCCAUGUGAUUCUAUGUAUUACUAAAAAGGAUUUUUCUUUUAAUGCAUAGCAUACUUUUUUGAUUGAUUUCUGUAUUGCUGCUAUGAUAUGAAAAUUAAGUAAACAUGCUAGGUUGAUGAUGACUAUAUUUUAGACAAAUGUCUUCCCUCUGAGCUAUAUUUAUUUAAAGGAGGUCAUGAGGACUUACAGUGAUUCCACAAAGGAACAGAAAGAAUUAGUCCUGCCUGCCUUAGGGGAACAAGUGGAGGUGGGACACAGAAUUGGAUGACCUUUCACUUGUAACUCUCUCUAACUGCACUGGAAGCUUCUGGAAACAACACCCUCUUGCUCAUUCUGUAGCUGAAAACUGCUGCCAUUGGCUAUUAACACAUGUUGUUGAGCAGUGGGGAGUUAGGUAAAGAAUUUAUUGCUAGUGUUCCCUUCUUAAGCAAGCCAGGAGCCCCUGACUGGCCAGGGGUGAGGUUCAGAGGACAUUAACUCUUUGUUAACCAGAGCAGAAAGAGUCACUUAUACAGAAAACAUAUAUACCAGAUGAGGGAGAAUAUAGAUACAUUACCUUUCUUUAUUGCUUUCAGCUUUUUAUUGCCUUAAGACAAAAAGUUCUCUAUGUAAGAAUUACCUCAUAGAUAAAAAGUUACAUAAAAGAGGAGUAAAAGACAGACGCCAAUAGCAAGUUCAAAGCAAUGUUUCAUUCUGUAGGCUCAUUGUUAAGUUCAAAGCAACAGUUUUUACAUGGUUUCACCUUAUCAUAGUGCACAGGUGUAGCUUCAUCAUUGAAUAUGAAUGUUUUAUCUUGAACAUAAGUUUGUCCCAAGCCUAUUUCUCUUUAUAGUGCAAUUAUGAAAAUUCAUGUAUUUCUUAUUAUGUAGCCUUUACUUACUAGUAUGAGGAAUGGACACAUUCUGUUCUUGAUUUUAACUUUAUUACAUCUUUCUAGCAAAACAACUAAAACUGCUGGGCAGUGGUGGUGCACGCAUUUAAUUCCAGCACUUGGGAGGCAGAGGCAGGUGGAUUUCUGAGUUUGAGGCCAGCCUAGUCUACAAAGUGAGUUUCAGGACAGCCAAGGAUACACAGAGAAACCUUGUCUCAAAAAACAAAACAAACAAACAAACAAAAAAUCAAACCAAACAAAAAACAACUAAAACCAUCUGUUAAAACUUUCUAAAAUUAUUUGAGAAAAAUCAGGGGUUAUAAAAAACAUUAAUUCAUCUAAACAGCAUUAGUACUUGAAAGUUCAUCUUCAUGUUGAUCUGAAAGAAAUUUGUCCAAUAUGGUAGGCUGAGGACCAGGAAUUGUUAGACUAUGUAAUAGUUAUAGGAGAGGCAUAUCAAUAACAAGAAGCAGUCAUGGGAUGAAGUGUCUAGGGGACUUUCCUCCCAAAGUUUACCCAUUGCAGACCAUGCACAACAGUGGGUCAUCUCCAGGAAAGUCAUCUUCUAACCUUAGCCUCUCCUAGAUGGCUUCUGACACAGUCUAAACCCAAUUGUGUUUAACUCUGUUUUUGAAUGUUUUUAUAAUGCUGAGUCAUGAGGUAUUGGAAAGUGACACUGUACCAUUCUCCACUAUAUUAUCUUGCUUACUAAUUUUGAAUUGAUGAAAGUAUGUUUUACUACAAUACUAUGUCUGAAGCAAAUAGCUAUAUAUAAUAGAGGGCGGUUAGAUCCUCCUUAAAACAAAUGUCAGUAAGAAUGGACACUAAAACAGUAUUUAAUGAUUAUACUUGAUCCCAUUAUUUGAAAAUGAUUUUCAUGUUGUGUGUAUCCAUGCAUAUACAGUAUGUAUGUACAUGUGCAUGUGGGAGCAAGAGAUAAAUUACACCCCACCUUAAUUUUUGAGACAAGGCCUCUCACUGAGCCUGGAGUUUUAAUUGACCAAUGAGCUCCAGAGAUUUACCUCCUCAGCACUAGGAUUAAAGCUUCAGCUUUUAGAGAGUACUGGAACUACAAACACAGACCCACAUGUUUGCGUGGCGAGCAUUUUAAUUGCUGGGCCAAUUUCUUAUACCCAUAUCUGGAAAUUUAUAAAAUUCAGAAAUUGUAAGUGUUGCUUAUACCAAUCCAGAAAUAUUGUAUUUUGUAACACAAGUGGUAGGAUUCUGCCACAGAACAAAAUGUUAAAACUCAGGUGAAACUUACCCAUACUGAAAAGAUAUUUAAACUAUGAUUAAACAUCGUUACUUAAAAUUAUAAUGCUUUAUAUAUUUAUAUAUAUAUUUCAUAAAGUAUAUAUUUCAUAUUUAUAUAUAUUUCAUAAAGUACUUUAAUCAUACCUUUCCCCUUUCCCAACUCUUCCUAGUUACUGCCCUCUGCCUACCAAUUCAAUGUUUUUACUCUAUCAGAAACAAUGC